rnacentral:rRNA from 1 species
CGGGGUGCACCAGGCGCGAAAACUUUGCAAUGCGGGAAACCGUGACAAGGGAACUCUGAGUGCCCGUAAAAUCGGGCUGUCCAUCGGUUUAAAAAACCGGUGAAGAAAGGGCCGGGCAAGACCGGUGCCAGCCGCCGCGGUAAUACCGGCGGCUCGAGUGGUGGCCACUAUUACUGGGCUUAAAGCGUUCGUAGCUGGUUUGUUAAGUCUCUGGGGAAAUCUUCCGGCUUAACCGGAAGGCGUCUCAGGGAUACUGGCAGACUGGGGACCGGGAGAGGUGAGAGGUACUCCAGGGGUAGGAGUGAAAUCCUGUAAUCCUUGGGGGACCACCUGUGGCGAAGGCGUCUCACCAGAACGGCUCCGACAGUGAGGGACGAAAGCUGGGGGAGCAAACCGGAUUAGAUACCCGGGUAGUCCCAGCUGUAAACGAUGCGCGUUAGGUGUAUCAGUGACCACGAGUCACUGAGGUGCCGAAGAGAAAUCGUGAAACGUGCCGCCUGGGAAGUACGGUCGCAAGGCUGAAACUUAAAGGAAUUGGCGGGGG